AUCCCAUGGUGAGGGCAUUCUGAUAUAUAAUCUUGAAAGCGUUCCCAAGCCUUUAGGAUAGAUUCAUCAUACUAUUGCUAGAAAGUUGACAUCUUCACACAUAGGUC
rnacentral:snoRNA from 1 species